rnacentral:rRNA from 1 species
AGAGUUUGAUCCUGGCUCAGGAUGAACGCUGGCGGCGUGCUUAACACAUGCAAGUCGAACGAACCUUCGGGUUAGUGGCGGACGGGUGAGUAACGCGUGAGAAUCUGCCCUCAGGAGGGGGAUAACGGCUGGAAACGGCCGCUAAUACCCCAUAUGCCGAGAGGUGAAAUGAAUUUCGCCUGAGGAUGAGCUCGCGUCUGAUUAGCUAGUUGGUGGGGUAAGAGCCUACCAAGGCAUCGAUCAGUAGCUGGUCUGAGAGGAUGAUCAGCCACACUGGGACUGAGACACGGCCCAGACUCCUACGGGAGGCAGCAGUGGGGAAUUUUCCGCAAUGGGCGAAAGCCUGACGGAGCAACGCCGCGUGAGGGAUGAAGGCCUCUGGGCUGUAAACCUCUUUUAUCAAGGAAGAAGAUCUGACGGUACUUGAUGAAUAAGCCACGGCUAAUUCCGUGCCAGCAGCCGCGGUAAUACGGGAGUGGCAAGCGUUAUCCGGAAUUAUUGGGCGUAAAGCGUCCGCAGGCGGCCUGAUAAGUCUGUUGUCAAAGCGUGGAGCUUAACUCCAUUUCGGCAAUGGAAACUGUGAGGCUUGAGUGUGGUAGGGGCAGAGGGAAUUCCCGGUGUAGCGGUGAAAUGCGUAGAUAUCGGGAAGAACACCAGUGGCGAAGGCGCUCUGCUGGGCCAUAACUGACGCUCAUGGACGAAAGCCAGGGGAGCGAAAGGGAUUAGAUACCCCUGUAGUCCUGGCCGUAAACGAUGAACACUAGGUGUCGGGGGAAUCGACCCCCUCGGUGUCGUAGCCAACGCGUUAAGUGUUCCGCCUGGGGAGUACGCACGCAAGUGUGAAACUCAAAGGAAUUGACGGGGGCCCGCACAAGCGGUGGAGUAUGUGGUUUAAUUCGAUGCAACGCGAAGAACCUUACCAGGGUUUGACAUCCUGCGAAUCCCUUGGAAACUAGGGAGUGCCUUCGGGAGCGCAGAGACAGGUGGUGCAUGGCUGUCGUCAGCUCGUGUCGUGAGAUGUUGGGUUAAGUCCCGCAACGAGCGCAACCCACGUCUUUAGUUGCCAGCAUUGAGUUGGGCACUCUAGAGAGACCGCCGGUGAUAAACCGGAGGAAGGUGUGGAUGACGUCAAGUCAUCAUGCCCCUUACAUCCUGGGCUUCACACGUACUACAAUGCUACGGACAAAGGGCAGCAAACUCGCGAGAGCUAGCAAAUCCCAUAAACCGUGGCUCAGUUCAGAUCGUAGGCUGCAACUCGCCUACGUGAAGGAGGAAUCGCUAGUAAUCGCAGGUCAGCAUACUGCGGUGAAUACGUUCCCGGGCCUUGUACACACCGCCCGUCACACCAUGGAAGUUGGCCACGCCCGAAGCCGUUACUCCAACCCUUGUGGAGGAGGACGUCGAAGGUGGGGCUGAUGACUGGGGU